CAGCAGCCGCGGUAAAACGAAGGGUGCAAGCGUUACUCGGAAUUACUGGGCGUAAAGCGUGCGUAGGUGGUGGUUUAAGUCCGUUGUGAAAGCCCUGGGCUCGACCUGGGAAUUGCAGUGGAUACUGGGUCACUAGAGUGUGGUAGAGGAUAGUGGAAGUUCCGGUGUAGCAGUGAAAUGCGUAGAGAUCGGAAGGAACAUCUGUGGCGAAGGCGACUAUCUGGGCCAACACUGACACUGAGGCACGAAAGCGUGGGGAGCAAACAGGAUUAGAGACCCGGGUAGUCCCUGUCUCUUAUAC
rnacentral:rRNA from 1 species